rnacentral:rRNA from 1 species
AUCAACGCUAGCGGCGUGCCUAACCAUGCAAGUCGAACGAGAAAGUCCCCGCAAGGGGAUGAGUACAGUGGCGAACGGGUGAGUAAACACGUGACUAACCUACCCUCGAGUGGGGGAUAACUCCGGGAAACCGGGGCUAAUACCGCAUAACACCUUCGGUUGAGAUGCCGGAUGUCAAAGAAGCAAACGCGCUCGAGGAGGGGGUCGCGCCUGAUUAGCUAGUUGGUGAGGGUAACGGCUCACCAAGGGCCUGUGAUCAGUAGCCGGCCUGAGAGGGCGCACGGCCACACUGGAACUGAAACACGGUCCAGACUCCUACGGGAGGCAGCAGUGGGGAAUUUGCGCAAUGGGGGAAACCCUGACGCAGCAACGCCGCGUGGAGGAUGAAGUCCCUUGGGACGUAAACUCCUUUCGACCGGGACGAUAAUGACGGUACCGGUGGAAGAAGCCCCGGCUAACUUCGUGCCAGCAGCCGCGGUAAUACGAGGGGGGCAAGCGUUGUCGGAAUUAUUGGGCGUAAAGGGCGCGUAGGCGGUGUGGUAAGUCUGUGGUGAAAUCUCCAGGCUCAACUUGGAGACUGCCGCGGAAACUGCCGUGCUGGAGUGUGGGAGAGGAGAGUGGAAUUCCCGGUGUAGCGGUGAAAUGCGUAGAUAUCGGGAGAACACCCGUGGCGAAAGCGGCUCUCUGGACCACAACUGACGCUGAGGCGCGAAAAGCUAGGGGAGCAAACAGGAUUAGAUACCCUGGUAGUCCUAGCCCUAAACGAUGAAUGCUUGGUGUAGCGGGUAACCCAAUCCCGCUGUGCCGUAGUUAACGCAUUAAGCAUUCCGCCUGGGGAGUACGGUCGCAAAGGCUUGAAACUCAAAGGAAUUGACGGGGGCCCGCACAAGCGGUGGAGCAUGUGGUUUCAAUUCGACGCAACGCGAAGAAACCUUACCUGGGCUCGAAGCGCAGUGGACCGGGGUGGAAACAUCCCUUUCCGCAAGGACUGCUGCGGAGGUGCUGCAUGGCUGUCGUCAGCUCGUGUCGUGAGAUGUUGGGUUAAGUCCCGCAACGAGCGCAACCCUUAUUGCCAGUUGCUAACAGGUUAAGCUGAGCACUCUGGCGAAACUAUGCCCCGGAUAACGGGGAGGAAGGUGGGGAUGACGUCAAGUCCUCAUGGCCUUUAUGUCCAGGGCCACACACGUGCUACAAUGGCCGGUACAAACCGUCGCAAACCCGCGAGGGGGAGCUAAUCGGAGAAAGUCGUCCUCAGUUCGGAUUGCAGUCUGCAACUCGACUGCAUGAAGGUGGAAUCGCUAGUAAUCGUGUAUCAGAACGAUACGGUGAAUACGUUCCCCGGGCCUUGUACACACCGCCCGUCACAUCACGAAAGCCGGGAGCACUUGAAGAGACUGUGGUAACCGCAAGGGGCUAGGUCUCAAUGGUGAACUUGGUGAUUGGGGUG